ACUCCUACGGGAGGCAGCAGUGGGGAAUUUUCCGCAAUGGGCGCAAGCCUGACGGAGCAAGACCGCGUGAGGGAGGAAGGCUCUUGGGUUGUAAACCUCUUUUAUCAGGGAAGAAGAUCUGACGGUACCUGAUGAAUCAGCAUCGGCUAACUCCGUGCCAGCAGCCGCGGUAAUACGGAGGAUGCAAGCGUUAUCCGGAUUUAUUGGGCGUAAAGCGUCCGCAGGUGGUUUUUCAAGUCUGCUGUUAAAGCGCAGAGCUUAACUCUGUAACGGCGGUGGAAACUGAGAGACUAGAGUAUGGUAGGGGUUGCGGGAAUUCCCAGUGUAGCGGUGAAAUGCGUAGAUAUUGGGAAGAACACCAGCGGCGAAAGCGCGCAACUGGGCCAUUACUGACACUCAUGGACGAAAGCUAGGGGAGCGAAAGGGAUUAGAUACCCCUGUAGUCCUAGCUGUAAACGAUGGGUACUAGGUGUUGACCGUAUCGACCCGGUCAGUGCCGUAGCUAACGCGUUAAGUACCCCGCCUGGGGAGUAUGCACGCAAGUGUGAAACUCAAAGGAAUUGACGGGGGCCCGCACAAGCGGUG
rnacentral:rRNA from 1 species